GCGAGUGGCGAACGGGUGAGUAAUAUAUCGGAACGUGCCCAGUCGUGGGGGAUAACGUAGAGAAAUUUACGCUAAUACCGCAUACGAUCUAAGGAUGAAAGCGGGGGACCGUAAGGCCUCGCGCGAUUGGAGCGGCUGAUAUCAGAUUAGGUUGUUGGUGAGGUAAAAGCUCACCAAGCCGACGAUCUGUAGCUGGUUUGAGAGAACGACCAGCCACACUGGGACUGAGACACGGCCCAGACUCCUACGGGAGGCAGCAGUGGGGAAUAUUGGACAAUGGGCGGAAGCCUGAUCCAGCAACGCCGCGUGAGGGAUGACGGCCUUCGGGUUGUAAACCUCUUUCAGUAUUGACGAAGUCGCUCCUUUUUGGGGGUGGUGACGGUAGGUACAGAAGAAGCACCGGCCAACUACGUGCCAGCAGCCGCGGUAAUACGUAGGGUGCGAGCGUUGUCCGGAAUUAUUGGGCGUAAAGGGCUCGUAGGCGG
rnacentral:rRNA from 1 species